GUCUACAUCACAAAGUUGCAGCGCUGGUGAGGGGGUUACAGCGCUGCAAUUUAGGAGGUGUACACAUCUGCAGGGCACCACCAGCGCUGCAACUCCCUGUUUGCAGCGCUGGCCGUACUCCCGUUUUGUCUCGGGUGUAGAGGAUCCAGCGCUGGUGAUCCAGCGCUGGUAAUCAAGUAUAGACACUCACCAGCGCUUUUCUUGACCUCCGUGGAAUAAGCAGGUAUCCCAGCAUAGCUGAGGAAGCCUCUGGUAAUCAAGCUGGUCUCCUUCCCCGGCUUGCUCUCGCGUUCCCCGAACCCCGAGCAAGCAGGUCUCCUUCCCUGCGGUUUGCGGGGGGGUUCGGGGAACGCGAGAGCAAACCGCGGGGAAGCAGGUCUCCUUCCCCGGUUUGCUCUCGCGUUCCCCGAACCCCCAUGCAAGCAGG